GGUGGGUGAGCGGCUGAAACCACCGGUCUUGAAAACCGGCGACCCGCACGGGUCCGGGAGUUCGAAUCUCCCCC
rnacentral:tRNA from 1 species